rnacentral:rRNA from 1 species
AUUGAACGCUGGCGGCAGGCCUAACACAUGCAAGUCGAACGCAGUGGGGACGGGUGAGUAACACGUGGGUAACCUCCCAUCAGAGGGGAUAACACUUGGAAACAGGUGCUAAACCGAUACUGAUGGAUGGACCCGCGGUGCAUUAGCUAGUUGGUGAGGUAACGUCUCACCAAGGCCACGAUGCAUAGGCGCGCUGAGAGGGUGAUCGGCCACACUGGGACGGGGCCACGGGCCAGACUAAUACGGGAGGCAGCAGUAGGGAAUCUAAGGCAAUGGACGAAAGUCUGACCGAGCAACGCCGCGUGAGUGAAGAAGGUUUUCGGAUCGUAGAACUCUGUUGUUAGAGCAGCGGUAUCUAACCAGAAGGCCACGGCUAACUACGUGCCAGCCGCCGCGGUAAUAC